GGCAAAGCCGGCGUCCCUUGGAGAGUUUCUGGAAGUUGAACGGAGGUUUGGAGAUGGAGCUUUAUACGGUGAUGCUGCGGCGGAGCUUGAAGGCGUGAUGGUGGCGCCGCCUAGGGAUGGAGUAAAUGGACGGGUUUUGUUCGCCGAUGGGAGGGUUCUGCCUCCGGCCGGUGAGAUUGAUGAUGGAACAUCAACGGCUGGGAUUCUUUGU
rnacentral:misc_RNA from 1 species